GUAAAAAAAAAUAAAAUGUCUAGCUAACCUUGUUUUAAUUUUAUGGAUUAGUAGUGUUUAUCACAAUAGGAGAUGAUGACUGACACAAGCUAUAGCAAAAGACUUUUCAGGUUCUCCAGAUAUGAAAGAGUUUGAAUCCAUACUCUAUCAAUAUAGGGAUAUUUUUGUUAAUUAAGUUGGUGACAAUUUUGACCUCAUUGUUCCUUUUAAAUUUCUUGUUUUUGAUAUUAAAUUUGUAGUACCAUAUGACAUUAUCACACUCGACAUUUUUCUUCCCUUAAAGGAUCGGAUAAGGAUAAACACAUAGGGUCACUUGAGAAGGAAUAUAAUUCCAAUGUGGAAUUGGGGAAUUACUGGAAAGAAAAAGAAGGAAACUGGGUGUCUGUUUGUAUAAGAGACAAAAUCCAAUUUUACCUCCAGCUUGACAAUUCUGUUCUUUGUGCUUCCAGUUCAAUUUGUUUUGAUUUUUGCUGGUAUAUAAGUGCUUCUGACUUUUGUUUCUUUUUAUUGGAUUUAAUUCUCUCAGCGUAAACGAGGAGGGAGCGUCUAAGGCUCUAAGGAGAAGAAGGGGUAGUAAAAUUCAAGAGGAGUUUAUGGCGGCUUUCCCAACUUUUUGAGCAGGGAAGCCAUUCCUAAAUAGAUUUAUCGUGUAGCAUUUCACAUGACUUAAUUGUAUAUUAUUUAUAUGUAUUUGUUCACAUGUCUGCUUUGGUUGGCGUGUUGACUUGCCUCAUAUAUAAUACAAGUGAAAGGAAUGGGAAUAGUUUCCGGCACCAUCAUUAAAGUGCUGUAUGUAGUUCCAUCGUCCAUGGUUAUUUCAAUUCUCAUUUUCUAGAGUUUCACUUUUAGAAAGUGACUUGUCACUUGGCUCGUCUUCUGAGCGUUAUGCAUAUUUUGCCUUCA